UGCAAGUCGAACGGUGAAGCAGAGCUUGCUCUGUGGAUCAGUGGCGAACGGGUGAGUAACACGUGAGCAAUCUGCCCCUGACUCUGGGAUAAGCGCUGGAAACGGCGUCUAAUACCGGAUACGAGCUGCGACCGCAUGGUCAGUAGCUGGAAAGAAUUUCGGUCAGGGAUGAGCUCGCGGCCUAUCAGCUUGUUGGUGAGGUAAUGGCUCACCAAGGCGUCGACGGGUAGCCGGCCUGAGAGGGUGACCGGCCACACUGGGACUGAGACACGGCCCAGACUCCUACGGGAGGCAGCAGUGGGGAAUAUUGCACAAUGGGCGCAAGCCUGAUGCAGCAACGCCGCGUGAGGGAUGACGGCCUUCGGGUUGUAAACCUCUUUUAGCAGGGAAGAAGCGAAAGUGACGGUACCUGCAGAAAAAGCGCCGGCUAACUACGUGCCAGCAGCCGCGGUAAUACGUAGGGCGCAAGCGUUAUCCGGAAUUAUUGGGCGUAAAGAGCUCGUAGGCGGUCUGUCGCGUCUGCUGUGAAAACCCGAGGCUCAACCUCGGGCCUGCAGUGGGUACGGGCAGACUAGAGUGCGGUAGGGGAGAUUGGAAUUCCUGGUGUAGCGGUGGAAUGCGCAGAUAUCAGGAGGAACACCGAUGGCGAAGGCAGAUCUCUGGGCCGUAACUGACGCUGAGGAGCGAAAGGGUGGGGAGCAAACAGGCUUAGAUACCCUGGUAGUCCACCCCGUAAACGUUGGGAACUAGUUGUGGGGUCCAUUCCACGGAUUCCGUGACGCAGCUAACGCAUUAAGUUCCCCGCCUGGGGAGUACGGCCGCAAGGCUAAAACUCAAAGGAAUUGACGGGGACCCGCACAAGCGGCGGAGCAUGCGGAUUAAUUCGAUGCAACGCGAAGAACCUUACCAAGGCUUGACAUAUAGAGGAAACGUCUGGAAACAGUCGCCCCGCAAGGUCUCUAUACAGGUGGUGCAUGGUUGUCGUCAGCUCGUGUCGUGAGAUGUUGGGUUAAGUCCCGCAACGAGCGCAACCCUCGUUCUAUGUUGCCAGCACGUAAUGGUGGGAACUCAUGGGAUACUGCCGGGGUCAACUCGGAGGAAGGUGGGGAUGACGUCAAAUCAUCAUGCCCCUUAUGUCUUGGGCUUCACGCAUGCUACAAUGGCCGGUACAAAGGGCUGCAAUACCGUGAGGUGGAGCGAAUCCCAAAAAGCCGGUCCCAGUUCGGAUUGAGGUCUGCAACUCGACCUCAUGAAGUCGGAGUCGCUAGUAAUCGCAGAUCAGCAACGCUGCGGUGAAUACGUUCCCGGGUCUUGUACACACCGCCCGUCAAGGCAUGAAAGUCGGUAACACCUGAAGCCGGUGGCCCAACC
rnacentral:rRNA from 1 species